rfam:Tupaia chinensis contig39799, whole genome shotgun sequence.
UGUGCUCAUUUCAGCAGCACACAAUACUAAAAUUGGAACAAUACAGAGAAGAUUAGUAUGGCCCCUGUGCAAGGAUGACAUGCAAAUUUGUGAAGCGUUCCAUAUUUUU